GUCUAUGGCCAUGUCACCCUGAACAGGCCCGAUCCUGUCUGAUCUCAGAAGCUAAGCAAGAUCGGGCCUGGUUAGUACUUGGAUGGGAGACCAACUAGGAAGACCAGGUGCUGUAGGCA
rnacentral:rRNA from 1 species